GAUGGUUGUCGUGGUGGCCUAGUGGGUAAAGGACCAACCUCAAGUAUGAGGGCGCGGGGUCGAUCCCAGGUCAGGCAAGUACCAAUGCAACUUUUCUAAGUUUGUAUGUACUUUCUAAGUAUAACUUAGACACCAUUGGCUGUGUUUCGGAUGGCACGUUAAACUGUAGGUCCCGGCUGUCAUUGAACAUCCUUGACAGUCGUUACGGGUAGUCAGAAGCCAGUAAGUCUGACACCAGUCUAACCAAGGGGUAUCGGGUUGCCCGGGUAACUGGGUUGAGGAGGUCAGAUAGGCAGUCGCUUCUUGUAAAGCACUGGUACUCAGCUGAAUCCGGUUAGGCUGGAAGCCGACCCCAACAUGAUUGGGAAAAGGCUCGGAGGAUGACUUAGAGUAGUUAGUUACAAGGAAUAUAAAUUAAAAACGUUCGAACGAAAGCCACUUUUUUAGAAGGAAAAAAAAUGUGUCCAAAUCAUUAUAGGCUCAAAUUGUUGGCCAAGUUUAAGUUAUGAAAGCCGAGACAAAACAACGCAAUUGCAAAAAUGAGCGCGAGCGAAGCGAGCGCGAAAAUUUUUCAAUUUUGGACCCAAAAAGUUAGUAGGUUUUAAAAAGCGCAGUAACGGAACAAGCAGUCGGAAGCAUAAACUUUUUUGUUUUUGAAGACUCCCUAAAUAUAUUUUUUUGCUACAUUUGACUUGUAGAAGGUAAGACAGCGUCAAACAGACUUAUGAAGUUAUCGAGGUAACGCAUCUAUUAGACAGCGCGAGCGAAGCGAGCGCGAAAUUUUUUAAACCUACGAUUCAAAAGUACAUAGUAAAGCAACAAUUAGCCGCGAGCGUAGCGAGCGCGAACUUUUUCAAAUUAUUUGUUUGAAGCCUCAAAAAUUAAACUGGGAAUUAUGUACAAAUAAAAAGAAACUGUGAUUAGAGCGAGUGCUAUUUGUGUUCGUUGAUUCGGUGCGUCAAUAAAAAUAAUGAACAAUCACAAAAAAUCUACAUAUAUCGUCAUUUACUCGCGAGCGUAGCGAGCGAGAAUUUUUUCACUUAGUUGGAGGAUGUUAAAAGUGAAAAAUAAUCAAAAUGAUCAGUGAAGCCAAAGCGAAGGCGACUUCUUUAGAAUCUUUGCAUAUCAGUAUCAUGAUACAAUGUGGAACUUCUUUAUCAAACUCAGGGGCGUCCCGCGGCGCCCCUGAGACCGAGACUCCCGGGUUAUUGGGCGGCCCUGUAGGUAACUAUUAUAGUUAUCUAUGAUGUAGGAUUUAAAAUAAAAAUAAAUAUGCCAUAAGUGUUCCUGGCUCAUAGAUACCUACUAGCCAAUAAUUUUUAUUAAUCAGUUUUAUUUUGCUAAAACUUCGCCUCGUGAAUAAUAAAUGUUCGUGCAGUCGUGCAGCAUAUUUCACUCCGCGCUUAGGGUAUCGGUCAAGUUGAUAUGGCCAUGAAAUUGCUGUACUUGUGCUAUUAUUUAUUCCGUGGUCAUUAAAUUAAUGAUAAGUUGUCCAUUGACCUGUGAAGUGUGAAUUGGGAAGCCUGAUUUUGCCGCCCCCUGAAUUUGCCGCCCGGGGCAUAGGCCCCGGCUUGCCCCCCCCUAGAUCCGGGGCUGACAUUUAAAGCUACUCGGUAAGUAGCAUCAAUCUAUGAAUUGAGAUCAAAGGAGUAUCGUUCUAGAACGGACACAUUCCUUUUUCGAAUAUUUUAAGGACGGCUCUCGGGGUCGGUUUUAAAUAUAGACGCAGCUACAGAUCUAAGUAUAUUUUAUAUCACAUAACUUUGUAUGUAACUAAAUGUGUUCCAAAUAAAUAUUAUAAGUACCUAGACACAAAAUUAUAAAACCUGUCCUUUUAAAAAGAUACAGCGAUCUUAAUAAGACUAUAGAUGUUACAAAUUAUGAGUGUUUGUUCGUAAAACUUAAGCAAAAGUUGGUUCUAGCCAGUUGUCAAUAAAGGAGAUUUUAAUGGUAAAGGCA
rnacentral:lncRNA from 1 species